AUUGCUGGGAUUACAGAUGUGAGCCACUGCUCCCGGCCACCAUUUUUUUUUUUUUAUCAUGACCAACAUAAAUUUUAGCCAUUAAACAACACUCUCCCUUCUGUCUUCUCCCUGUCUCCUGGCAAACUUUAUUCUGUUCUGUGUCUCUAUGAAUUUGACUACUCUAGCUACCUCAUGUAAGUGGAAUCAUACAAUACUUGUUCUUCUGUGUCUGGUUCAUUUCACUAAGCAUAAUGUUUUCGAGAUCCAUCCAUGUCAUGGCAUAUAUCAAAAUUCCAUCCCUUUAAAUUGGUCAAUAGUAUUCCACUGUAUAUAUAGACCACAUUUGGGUUAUCCAUUCAUCUGGUGAUGAGCACUUGGAUUGUUUCUACCUUUUGGCUGCUGUGAAUAAUGCUGCUAUAAACAUUGGUUUACAGAUAUCUGUUUGAGUCCCAACUCUCAGUUCUUUUGCUUAUAUACCUAGGAAUGGAAUUGCCGGAUCUUGUGGUAAUUGUAUGUUUAACAUUUUGAAGAACCGCCCAACCGUUUUCCAAGCAGCAGCACCAUUUUACAUUCCCACCAGCAAUGUGCAAGGGAUCCAGUUUCUGCACAUUCUUGCCGACACCUGUUAUUUCUCAAUUUUUUGUUUUGCAUUGUUUUUGUUUUUAUGGCCAUCUUAGGAGGUGGAAGGUGGUAUCUCAUUGUGCUUCUGAUUUUCAUUUCUCUGAUGACUGAUGAUACUGAGCCUAUUUUCAUGCGCUUAUUGGCCAUUUGUGUAUCUUCCUUGAAGAAAUGUCUAUUCAAGUUCCUUUGUCCAUUUUUGAAUUAGGUUGUUUGUUUUCUUUGUUGUUAACUUUUGUUGCUUGAAGCCAACAAGUUUGUGGUAAUUUGUGACACGAGCCCUAGAAAACGAAUACGUUGCUCAAAAUCCAGCCUCUUGGGCUGCAGGACCCCACGGUCAGGCAAUUUCUUCCAGAAGGCUGAGUAGCCAUACAGGUGACAUCAGCACUGACUUUAUUCACCUGCCAGUGGACGAAUUCUUCAGCUCUUCCCUUCCAAGGCCUGAGACCUGCAAGCCAAGAGGGCUCGAACACCAGUCUCCUCUUGAAUGUGCGCAUGCACAACUCUUUCAAGAGGUUUGGAAGUAAAAAGAAGGAGCAGGAUGGAGCAGCAGUUGAGGAGAGGAUUAUAAGAUCCCCUCUCUCAUCAGGAGGCGUUGCUGUGUUUGGUUGUUUGUCUUGAAAGGAUACGAAAACCUGAGUAUUUGUAUAGGCUGAGAGAAGAACCCAGGGGAGAGGGAGAGGGGACCUGAAAUAUCACAUCUGGAUGCCAAGCACAUCAUCUUUCUGUCUCACUGGUCAGAGUCACGGGAGCUUAGCCACGAAAGGGACCUUAGAGUUUAGCUCCUUCAUUUUGCAGAUAUAGAGAGAGCGGGCACAGAAGAGGACCUGCCCGGGGUACUUCUGCAGCCAGCUGCUUGCUCCUGACAUCCCAUAUGUCUAGGACUUCAUGGUGUGCCCUCUGGAAAGACAACUAUUUUUAACUGCCUUUUUUCACGUCUCCACAAGUUGUAAAAUAACUCUUCUAUUUCUUCUCUGUUCCUAUGCCCUUACCCGUCUUCCCAGAACACAAUGGCAUAUGAACCCUUUGUUCCUGCCAAAUGCAGCCGAGGAAGUGGGAAGGGCCAUUGGGUUGAGUGGACCAGGAGACUAUGCCCUGAUGACGGGGGAUGCUGCCAGGCUCGGCAGGCCUCUACUUCCCCUCUGCCUGUCCUCUGCCUCCCGGAGUAGGGAAAUCCAGGGAUCUCUAUUCCCCAGCAUUCCUUUCCAGCAUGGUUGUAAGUUAGAUUCUGGCAGUAAGAUGCACUUGCACAAGCGUCAGAAGCUGAAGGCGAGAGAAAGUCCUUCUCUGAAUUGGCCUGGGCAGAUGCGUGGUAGACGGCAGCUUUCAGACAAGCUCCUGCACGCUGUCUGCUUUCUGCUUUGGUGCUACAGGCAAUUGAGAUGAUCUCCAUGCCUUCUCUGCAAUCUGGCACUUCCUGAUUCUGUGAGGUCUGACAGUGGCUUCCCUGAUCUUCCCUAAUUCAGCCCUUCUGUCCAUUAUGAAUGCCUCUAAAUCCCUUGUAUGAAAACCCUGUGUAUUUGGAAUAUCUAGAGCAGCUUCCAGUAUUAUGACCAAACUCUGACUGACACACUGGCACAGAUAAAGAAGCUACAUAAAAUGAUGUGGGGGAAACAUCCUGUUCAAUCUUCUCGGCAGUGCUGAUGUUAGACUGUCAUUUUCCCAGUUUCAUAGAUUAGAAGCCUGAGGCUAAAGAGGUCAAGGUUGCCUGACUCCCAAGCCAUUCUCUUUCUGCUAGAUCAUUCUACUCUGCUUCUCUUAAUAGAUAGGGAGAAGCAGGCAUAAGAGGAAAGAGAAAAGCAGCAGGGGAGGACAUGACGGAGAUGGACAAAGGAAGAGGCGAGCAGACUUAUUUGAAGUAGAAAGGGAGAGAGGAGAGAGAAACUCCAAGGGUUCUGGAAAGUUGGAGAAACUUCUCAUAACCUCUCCUCAGACGGUGCUUUACAAGGUUACCCUUGCUCUUGGGCAACAGUAAUUAGCCAGGUAACAACCGUUCACAGCCCUUUGCCUGUUCUUUAUUCUCAGGCUUUUGAGAUUGCAGUGUGAACAGAAGACAUAGAAACCCACGGAGUGAAGAAUUCUUUGGGCUGCCCCAGCAAUGCAGAGCAGUGGUUCCCUGGAGAGUGGGUGGACUCAAGCAGAAGGGCAGCCCCAGCCCUGGGCUCAUGGGGAAUGGGAAUUAGGUUUGCCCUUGAACCCCAGGGUAGCUGGUGAAGGCUGUCUUGGAUAAUCUUCGGGAGCUCAAAGCAUCCCCAUCUCACCUUGGUAUCCUAGUCCUUCUGCUACUCCCGUGCUUGCCUUCCUGGGACAGUGACACUUGCAGUUCCUGCUGACUCGGAGUGCCCCUCCUUGCUCUGUGUCCUGUGAGAAAGCAGAUGAAUCCACUGUGCAGCAAUGAUGAGCAGCUGCUGGGCUGGAGAGACUGGGGCCAUUUUACACCAGGAUGUUACCCAGAAAUGCCUGGAAAGCAAGGAGCAGCUAUCAGAAUGUUUGGGGACGCAGCUCCUCCUGUCGUGGUUCCUUCAGCAUGGACUUCACAUUCAGCAGGCCCAUGAGGUGUUCCCUUUCGGAUGAGCUCCAAGGUCUUAAGAGAGCAUCUCUGGUCUCCAUGAGUCCCUCUGAACGACGGUCCUGAGCAAGAACCACCUAUAACCAUCGGCUCAAAUUAACUCAGGGGAAGUCAAAGCUUUCUAUGUGGAAGGUGACUGAAACCACAUACACAGACCACUGCAGCAUUCCUGACAUUAUGGAGCUUGGAAAUGAUUCCAAAUGCAAACAUAGCUUGCUACGUGAGUGACAUGUUUUUCUAUGACAAGAACUUGGAGUGUAAUCCUUCCCCCAUCAAGAAUGUGACAUCACACCUUAUCAGAUUGUAUGCAUGAGCUACCAACCUCAACCACUGAACUUCAAACUAUGUGAAAACCUAAGGGUUUGACAGACACUUUGAGAGCUUGGGCUGUGGCAAGCUACACUCUGUCAGCCUCUCUUCAACAGGGCCCCACCCUGCUAGCCUUUGAACUUGGAAGCCUCGCCUGCCAACACUGGUGCCGCCCUCUAGCAUUGACAGACCGUAUGUGUCUUUGUGAAUCUCCGUUGUGUUGGACGGCUUCUCUCCCAAGAGCUGCUCUUAUAAAAGAGACACGCCACACUUUAAUGAGCCUUCGCUCUCCACCGAGGCCUGCUUGCAUCCUAAUUGAGCAAGUAGACUUUAGUAACUUUGGAACUCAGUCACUCUGUGACUAAUACACCCCGUCUACCCAGAGCAUUCCCUGUGAGAUUUGUUCAUGUUGCUCUCCCCCUCCUUAAGCAUUGUGAACCUAGGACAAAUAUCAUCUUUGUAGGGCAAUAAACCAUGUGAUUUGUGAAAUCAUA